rnacentral:rRNA from 1 species
UCGCCUGUUUAUCAAAAACAUUUCUAAAUGAAAAUUAUUUUUAGUAAGACCUGCUCAAUGAUAUAUUAAAUUGCCGCAUUCAAUGUGCUAAGGUAGCAUAAUCAUUUGCCUUUUAAUUGUAGGCUCGCAUGAAUGGUUAUUCAUGUAGAUUUCUUUAUUAACUUUAUAACUUUAAUUUUUCUUAAAAGUCAAAAGACUUUUAUUUAUAAGAGGGACGACAAGACCCUAUCGAGCUUUACUUAUGUUGAACUGGGGCGGUAAAAAACAAAUUCUUUUUUAUUUUCUUUUAAACAUUCUUUUUAUAAAAUCUUUUUAAGUUACCGUAGGGAUAACAGCAUUAUUUUCUUUUAUAGUUCCUAUUAAAAAGAAAGUUUAUGACCUCGAUGUUGAAUUAUUAAUCUUUUUGAAGCAAAAUUUAAAAAAGAAAGUCUGUUCGACUUUUAAAAUUUUACGUGAUCUGAGUUC